ensembl:snRNA U6 U6 spliceosomal RNA
GUGUUCCCUUCUGCAGCACAUAUACUAAAAUUGGAAUGAUACAGAGAAGAUCAGCAUGGCCCCUGUGCAAGGAUGACACAUGCAAAUGCAUGAAGCAGUAUGAAUUUUA